CCUCUUUAAUAAUCUUUAACAAAGACUACAUUAUUGUUCGUCAGAUCUUAACGUUCGACUAUGGCGAUAAAUGGUGCUCGGAAUAAGCGCAGCGGAACCGGGGGCGGUACCCGGCGCCUCCACCAUGAGUUGUAUCUAUAUUAUGGAUAGCAGGUUUUUAAUGGGGGCGAAAUAGAGUCGACGUGCGUAAUAAAGGGUCACUUUUUGCUCGGUAUUGUUCCACCGUUAUCGGGCUUUCAUACUAGUUGCGAACGACAACUAUUUUGAGGCUCGCCUGGCUGCGUGAUGCGGCUCGGCUUCCUCUAACUAAUUCGUUUUGGAUUUUUGCCUAAAACGUGAGGCUUGCGAGCCGCCUAGCAACAGAAGGCUCGUGCU
rnacentral:tmRNA from 1 species